rnacentral:misc_RNA from 1 species
UCACAACUCACCACCGUCCAUCGGCUUCCACCACCACCAUCACGACGGCGGCGCCGGCGGAACCUGCGUUAACUGCGGCGGACCUACCGCGUUCCCAUCACCGCCUCCUGAUCCUAAUCCCAACUACAUCCCCAUCCGUGCUCCGGCCGUCAACCUACCACCAGCCAAUAACAGAGAAAUCAUCAUGCGAACACCAGUUCCUCAAUCACAGAGAGUUGUUCCGUUAACUCCUCCUUACCAUUUCCAAACUCCGAUGAAGAAAAUCCACAACCAAAACGACAUCGUUCAGUUUCAAUCAUCACCUACUUGCCAGAACUUCCUCGGGUUCGUGGUGUUACUAUCGGAGUCUAUUCGUUCACAUAAGCUCUCAGAUCCUUGUCAUGAGUCGUCUGUAGUGUUAGCCAUUGUCUCUGUGCUUGAAACCCUAAGUGUCUACGUUGAUGAGAUCCCUUUAGCACCACAGUCGUCUCGAUACGGGAACUUGGCGUACCGAACGUGGCAUGAACGUAUGAGCUGUGAUGCUGAGUCAUUUUUGCAUCAGUUUCUGCCUCCUGAUCUCCAGUCGGCUACUGUUGAACUUGUUCCUUACUUUACUGAUAGCUUUGGGAACUCCAGCAGAAUUGAUUAUGGUACCGGACAUGAGACAAAUUUCGCAGCAUUGUUGUAUUGUUUAGCAAGAUUAGGAGUUCUGAAAGAAGAAGACUAUCAAGCUCUGGUGUCAAGGGUUUUUGUCAAGUACUUGGAUUUGAUGAGGAAGUUGCAAGUGACCUAUUGCCUAGAGCCUGCUGGGUCCCAUGGGGUUUGGGGACUAGAUGACUACCACUUCUUACCUUUUAUAUUUGGGUCAUCUCAGUUGAUUGAUCACAAGUACAUGAAACCAAAAUCUAUUCAUAACAAAGAUAUCUUGGAGAACUUUGCAAAUGAAUAUCUUUAUCUCUCGUGUAUUGUAUUCAUAAUGAAGGUGAAGAAGGGAGUGUUUGCAGAGCACUCUCCCAUGUUAGAUGACAUCAGUGGUGUACCCAAUUGGAACAAGGUAAACAGUGGCUUACUUAAGAUGUACAAGAUUGAAGUUCUGCAGAAGGUUCCUAUCAUGCAGCAUUUCCUUUUCGGCUCCAUUAUCCAAUGGCAAUGAUUCUGAGCCAGGGGUCAGUCAUAUAUAGCUUCCUAUUUAUCAGCAGCUAUAUAGUGAUGGAGGAAACAUUACAUUCUAAUAUUUUCGCAGCAAACAUCUACACCGUUUGAUGCUUUUAAUGUAUCAGCCUGUUAUUCAGAAGCUGUCUUCGUUUUGAUAACGGUGUUGUCUGAGUCAGCUUGCCCGUACCUCGACCAUUCUACCGGAUACCUAUACUACCUUCCACCAGCUUUUUGUCUAGAUUUUGAAUAUUAUUGUUAUAAAAGUGAUGUUGAAGUAAAUUUUUCAUGGCACUAUGUAAAAUUACUCCAGUUGCAGAGUGGUGAUCUAAACUUUUGACAGUUACUUCUUAAUAUAUCUCUGCAAUCCUUGUG